rnacentral:tRNA from 1 species
GCCUUCGUAGUGUAGUGAUCAGAACACUAGGCGUGUAUUCGAGAGGUCCGGGGUUCGAGUCCCGGCGACGGCA